GGCCUUGACAUACUAAGAACUUUCCAGAGAUGGAUUGGUGCCUUUCGGGAACUUAGAUACAGGUGCUGCAUGGCUGUCGCCAGCUCGUGUCGUGAGAUGUUGGGUUAAGUCCGCAACGAGCGCAACCCUUUUCCUUAUUUGCCAGCGGGUAAUGCCGGGAACUUUAAGGAUACUGCCAGUGACAAACUGGAGGAAGGCGGGGACGACGUCAAGUCAUCAUGGCCCUUACGGCCAGGGCUACACACGUGCUACAAUGGUCGGUACAAAGGGUUGCUACCUCGCGAGAGGAUGCUAAUCUCAAAAAGCCGAUCGUAGUCCGGAUCGCAGUCUGCAACUCGACUGCGUGAAGUCGGAAUCGCUAGUAAUCGCGGAUCAGAAUGCCGCGGUGAAUACGUUCCCGGGCCUUGUACACACCGCCCGUCACACCAUGGGAGUUUGUUGCACCAGAAGUAGGUAGUCUAACCGCAAGGAGGACGCUUACCACGGUGUGGCCGAUGACUGGGGUGAAGUCGUAACAAGGUAAGCGUAGAUGA
rnacentral:rRNA from 1 species